AUGAAGAAUGAGAAUGAGAAUUUCUUCUUUGAUGUAGACGUUGGAACUGAUGAUGAUGGUAAGAAAAUUAUCAGAAAUAUAUUCUGGUCCAAUGCUAGCUGCCAGGCUGCAUACGCAGAUUUCGGUGACUGCGUCACGUUUGACACCACAUACAAAACGAACAAGUAUCACAUGCCUUUGGGGUUUUUUGUCAGUGUGAAUAAUCAUCUGCAAUCUACAAUUUUUGGAGUUGCCUUGGUGGGGAAUGAGAGUAGCGACUCAUUCGAAUGGAUUUUUAAUGCUUUUAAGCGGUGCAUGCGAAAAGACCCAACUUGCAUACUAACAGAUCAAUGCCCUGCCAUGAAAGCAGCUAUACCUAAGGUCUUCCUCAGAACUCAUCACCGCCUCUGCCGAUGGCACAUUAUGAAAAAAAUAAAAGAUCAUUUGUCAAAAGUAUACUUAGAACAUGACACAUUUAAGGAAGACCUCGCAGCAGUCCUUAACCAUCCACUCAUGCCAGCAGAGUUUGAAGCAGCAUGGCACGACCUCAUGGACACGUACAACUUACAGAAUGACACCAUCCUGCUGGGCCUAUGGGAAGAGAGAACAACAUGGAUAUCUGCAUACUGGAAGGAGAUAUUCUGCGCCAGAAUGACGUCAGCACAAAGAAGCGAAAGCAUGAAUCAUAUCCUGAAAAAAGGUUUCGUGAAAGAAACACAAGUGCUUCACAUAUUUGCCAGACAAGUCAAUGAAUGCAUACAGAAGAGGCACCAGCUUGAGGUUGCCGAGACAAUAGCUUCAACGGGUGUCAGAAACCCUCUCACUAGGUACCUUUUCGAGAAACAGCUGAUGGACGUGUACACACGCGCUGACUACACCUUAUUCCGUGAAAGACUCUUUGAAAGCGGCGCCUUCCGAAUCAAACAGUCAACUGGGCAUGUAACGAAGUACUACGUACACCACUACAACCAAGAGAAAAUAUUCACAUGGUCAAGGCACGAAUUCCAGGUGGUCGCUGAUGAAACAAAUGGCGAAUACGAAUGCGAGUGCAAACUCUGA
rnacentral:rRNA from 1 species